rnacentral:rRNA from 1 species
GACGAACGCUGGCGGCGUGCCUAAUACAUGCAAGUCGAGCGGACCUCUUCGGAGGUCAGCGGCGGACGGGUGAGUAACACGUGGGCAACCUGCCUGUAAGACUGGGAUAACUCCGGGAAACCGGAGCUAAUACCGGAUACUAUGUCCAACCGCAUGGUUUGACAUUCAAAGACGGUUUCGGCUGUCACUUACAGAUGGGCCCGCGGCGCAUUAGCUAGUUGGUGAGGUAACGGCUCACCAAGGCGACGAUGCGUAGCCGACCUGAGAGGGUGAGCGGCCACACGGGGACUGAGACACGGCCCAGACUCCUACGGGAGGCAGCAGUAGGGAAUCUUCCGCAAUGGACGAAAGUCUGACGGAGCAACGCCGCGUGAGUGAUGAAGGUUUUCGGAUCGUAAAACUCUGUUGUCAGGGAAGAACAAGUGCCGGAGUAACUGCCGGCGCCUUGACGGUACCUGACCAGAAAGCCACGGCUAACUACGUGCCAGCAGCCGCCGUAACAC